rnacentral:rRNA from 1 species
UUAAAUUGAAGAGUUUGAUCAUGGCUCAGAUUGAACGCUGGCGGCAGGCCUAACACAUGCAAGUCGAACGGUGACAGGA